UCCCUUGAGAAUCGGAAGAGAAGUGACUGACCACAGACUCAUGAUGGAAGUGUUUGUAGGGACAGCUCUCCGUUGAGGAAUCUGUUCGAGUAUCACUUGAGAUAGAAGGCUCCCUGCCUGAGGGAGACAUAUAUGCAAAAUUGAGGAAAGAGAAGACAGUGAUCAAGAGAAAGCGAAGAGAUCUUUGGAUGGCAACAAAGGUUCAUAGGACAAGAACUUCCUAGACGGAAGGGUGAGAAAUUGAAGCCAAGUAAUUUAGGCAAUACACUCUUGAAGGCUGAAGGAAACAAAACCUGGCACAAUCUAGGCUUCAGCAGGAAUUGGCUCUUCUUUCUUAUCUUCAAUGAAUCCUCUUUCUCCAAGCCCUGUUAUGUGCUGAGCUCAUAAGCAGUCACCAAACACUUCAAGAAGUGCUUGAACAUUCCUACCUCCUUGACAUGAGCAUCAUCAAAAUACAUCCAUUUGCGGAUCUUUGUUUGGAAAAAGAAUGUGGAAUAAUGUUUGCCAUAGUAACAGAUCAUUCCUACUAAGUACAGUUCAGACUGCUUGGCCCGAUCAUCCGUCACUCUGAAAAACAGCUGUGGGGAAAGAAGAGCAAGGAAAGAACAGUCACAUACUCAACCCUCACAUCAUCUAUCAGCAGACUCUA